rnacentral:rRNA from 1 species
GAUGAACGCUAGCGGCAGGCUUAAUACAUGCAAGUCGUGGGGCAGCAUGAAGUAGCAAUACUUUGAUGGCGACCGGCAAACGGGUGCGGAACACGUACACAACCUUCCUUUUAGUGGGGAAUAGCCCAGAGAAAUUUGGAUUAAUACCCCGUAACAUAGCGAUGUGGCAUCACAUUGCUAUUAUAGCUUCGGCGCUAGAUGAUGGGUGUGCGUAUGAUUAGAUAGUUGGCGAGGUAACGGCUCACCAAGUCUACGAUCAUUAGCUGAUGUGAGAGCAUGAUCAGCCACACGGGCACUGAGACACGGGCCCGACCCCUACGGGAGGCAGCAGUAAGGAAUAUUGGUCAAUGGACGAAAGUCUGAACCAGCCAUGCCGCGUGAAGGAUUAAGGUCCUCUGGAUUGUAAACUUCUUUUAUAUGGGACGAAAAAAGGUCUUUCUAGAUCACUUGACGGUACCAUAUGAAUAAGCACCGGCUAGCUCCGUGCCAGCAGCCGCAGUAACAC